UCCGAUAUGGUGUAGUGGCCAACAUGAUGCCCUCUCAACCCCUCGAGAGGUUAGGCAUAGCCCCGAGUUCGAUUCUCGGUUUCGGAA
rnacentral:tRNA from 1 species